GUGCUCGUUUCAGCAGCACAUUUAUUAAAAUUGGAACAACACAGAGUUUAGCAUGGCCCCUGUGCAAAGCGGACAGGCAAAUUCAUGAAAUGUCCCAUAUUUUU